CCUACGGGUGGCAGCAGUGGGGAAUAUUGCACAAUGGGGGAAACCCUGAUGCAGCAACGCCGCGUGAGUGAAGAAGUAUUUCGGUAUGUACAGCUCUAUCAGCAGGGAAGAAAAUGACAGUACCUGACUAAGAAUCCCCGGCUAACUACGUGCCAGCCGCCGCGGUAAUACGUAGGGGGCAAGCGUUGUCCGGAAUUACUGGGUGUAAAGGGAGCGUAGGCGGGGAUGCAAGUUGGGGGUCAAAACUACCGGCUCAACUGGUAGUCGCACCCAAAACUGCAGCUCUUGAGUGAAGUAGAGGCAGGCGGAAUUCCUAGUGUAGCGGUGAAAUGCGUAGAUAUUAGGAGGAACACCAGUGGCGAAGGCGGCCUGCUGGGCUUUUACUGACGCUGAGGCUCGAAAGUGUGGGGAGCAAACAGGAUUAGAUACCCUUGUAGUC
rnacentral:rRNA from 1 species